UCUUUUUCAAAAGGAAUAUGUAUUUUCAUCCUUCUUUUCUUUUUUCUUUUUUUUUUUCUUUUUUUUCCUUUCUAUUUUUAUCCUUUUCUGCUAACUUUUAAAGUAUCACAACUUUAUUAAUUCAACCUCACACAACUCUUAACAAUACUCCUUCAACCCUUUGAAUAUGGUGAUAACAUUUGAAAUUCUGGUAUUAGAUAUGAGAUGUUGAAGGUAAUGUCACGAC
rnacentral:lncRNA from 1 species